UGGAACAAGAAAGAAAAGAGAGCCAACCAUCAAGCCCCUCUGAAAUUUUGAUUAAGGUGAUGUUUUUGUUUCUAUAAGCUAUAUUUUAAUGUCUGUGGAGUGUUUUCACAUUUGAGGUCUAUGUCUUUCUUUCUUCGGUUAUAUUUGUUUUUCUUUUUCUAUUCUGUGAACAAUUAUUUUAAAGCACCUUAAAAUGUUUUGUUCACAACUAUUUCCUUCUUCUUCUAUAUUAUUUUGCCCUUUUUCUGUAAUGUAUUUUUUUUCUCUUUAUGUUAUUACUUAAAGAAUUAUAAUUCUAAUUCUUUUAGUUUCAAAGUAUUUUUUUCAGCGGAGGUUCUUUUGCCAAGACUUUCUACAGUAUGGUACAUGAAACAGAUGUUGGAACAAGAAAGAAAAGAGAGCCAACCAUCAAGCAAUCAAGCCCCUCUGACAUUUUGAUUAAGGUGAUGUUUUUGUUUCUAUAAGCUAUAUUUUAAUGUCUGUGGAGUGUUUUCACAUUUGAGGUCUAUGUCUUUCUUUCUUCGGUUAUAUUUGUUAUUCUUUUUCUAUUCUGUGAACAAUUAUUUUAAAGCACCUUAAAAUGUUUUGUUCACAACUAUUUCCUUCUUGUUCUAUAUUCUUUUGUCCUUUUUCUUUAAUGUAUUUUUUUUCUCUUCAUGUUUUUACUUAAAGAAUUAUAAUUCUAAUUCUUUUAGUUUCAAAGUAUUUUUUUCAGUGGAGGUUCUUUUUUCCAAGACUUUCUACAGUAUGCUACAUGAAAAAGAUGGAACAAUAAAGAAAAGAGAGCCAACCAUCAAGCAAUCAAGUUGCUCCGACAUUUAGAUUAAGUCUCUUGUAAAACAGGUGAUGGAACAUAGAAGAAAAGAAAGCCAGCCAACCAUCAAUCAAUCAUGUUACUGUGAUGUGAUGAUAAGGUGAUGGAACAUGGAAGAAAAGAGAGCCCACCAUCGGACAUCAUGUCAUUCUGACAUGUGAAUGUGAAGAUUUUGUUUUCUUUAACGAAUUCCAUUUAUAUGGCAGUGGUGUGUUUGUGCAUUCAUCGUCAUCACCAAACUCCAUUUGAGUGAGGGCUUGAAAGGCUCAAAUCCUCUCUUGCAAAAGCCCUUGUUGUUUUGUGUAGUGCAUGCAUGUCACCAUACAGGUCGAGAAUUUUUUGUUUCCCAGACCUGUUGAGACCUGUGCAUUUGAGGUCUCUUUUUUUUAUGCUUCUUUUUCUUUUUUGUAAUUAUUAUAAUAAUUUUGAAGCCCUUAUAAAUGAUUAUUCACAACUUCUUCCUUCCUCUUCUUUAUCCAUGCUUUUUCUAUUUUUUUUUUCUCAAAAGUUAUUGAAUAAAGAAGAAUAAGUUAAAUUCUUUUUUUAAAGCAUGUUUUUAAGCUGUUGUAUUUCCAAGUCUUUUUAUAGUAUGGAAUGUAAAAAAAAUGUAAGACAUUUUUAACAAUUCAAAUUAAAAUAUUGUUUAGGCUACACAACACCCUUGUUAUAUUUUUCUCAGUAAGAGAGAACUAAACAAGACUUUUUCAAUAUAUAUUUAGCUUCCUGUCAAUAUUCUUAGCAUUCCGCAGCACCUCUGCUUGGUUGAAGUGGUGAAGUUUUAGAGUUUGGGAACUAGUGAAAACAGUGAAAGCAUGUGAAAAUAAGGAAUAUGUUUCAACUGUCACAAUCUACUAUUUAAGAUGAGACAAAAUCUUGUUAUGCUUUAUAAAGAUUUAUUUUGUAUUUAUUUUCAGAAGUGUUUCCUUGAAGACGUGUGUGUCACGGUUGACCACACAUAGGAAACAUCAUGAAUGAGGGCAACAAAGCCUUAAUGGCUAUUUCAUGUACAUUUAUAAAACAUUUAUACACUAUUACACUUUCCUGAUGACAUAGUUUAGUAUCUAUUGUGUAAAGCUAGGAUCUUAACAUGCCCAAAACACUUCAAUCACAUUCAAUUUAAUGUGCAGUACUUCAUUUUUUAAAUUAAAUUGAGACAUGGGUAAAGUAAUUUACAGUCUCCUCUUGUUAAUAUCUUAAGCAAAAUAUGUCUUGAAAUUAAUGUAUUUAAUAAUUUUUUAAAAUAAUGUACAUUCCUUCAAUUAUGCAUAUUUUAUAUUUGUUAGCAGUCUUUUUUCUCUUUAUACAAAUACCUUUUUAUUUUUGUCAAUAAUUUUUUUUUAAUGGCUUGUGUAUAACUUUUUAGUAACAUCUGUUAUAGUAUAUAAUUAAAUUAAUCUUUCAUUAUUAUUAUAUGUCAAUAAGAUUAUUCUUUGCCUUAGCAAUGUUGUGAUUUAGUUAAUAAAACCUGUUAACUUGUGUUUAAAGUGUUUAGCUUGAAGACUUGUUACUUGUGUCAGACUUUUGUAAAGUUUAAUGGUAUUGUAUUUUGUAGUUGGACAUAUACAAGCUGAGCAUUAUUUCAGCUAGAUGAAAAUUCUGUUAAUUUUGAUAUGUCUUAUUAUGAAUUGUUUAUUUUAUUAAAAGUUUUUAGACUUAAUGGCAAUGUCUUUGAUUCUGAUUACAGAUGAGUCUAGAAUGUCAUGUGACAAUUCAAACCCAGUUGUUUGUACUUUAAUAAUAACUUGUUAUUUUAAAUCUUAAUACAAUAACUUGAAUUAAACCACAAAUGGAAAAUAGUAUUUGUAACAUAAUUUUCAUUAAAAUCAUGUUUUACCAA